GCCUGAUGUCAUGGCACACACCUGUAUGUAAUCUCAUCAACCAGAGAGGCUGAGGCUGGCAGAUCUCUUGAGUGCAGGAGUUCUGAGCUGCAGUGGGCUAUGCUCAUUGGGUAUCCACAAUAAUUUCAGCAUUAAUAAUAAUACCCCUCAGAAGCAAGGGUCCACUUGGUUGACUGAAGGGUGAACUGGCCCACGUCAGAAAUAGAGGAAGUCAAAGCUCCCAUGCCAAUGAGUAAUGGGAUUGGCCAUGAGUAUGCCCUGCAUUUCCAGCCUGGGUGAGAUGGGGAGACUCAAUCUUU
ensembl:misc_RNA Metazoa_SRP Metazoan signal recognition particle RNA